rnacentral:rRNA from 1 species
UACGUAGGGUGCGAGCGUUGUCCGGAACUAUUGGGCGUAAAGGGCUCGUAGGCGGUUUGUCGCGUCGGGAGUGAAAACCUCGGGCUUAACUCGGGGCUUGCUUUCGAUACGGGCAGACUGGAGGUAUGCAGGGGAGAACGGAAUUCCUGGUGUAGCGGUGAAAUGCGCAGAUAUCAGGAGGAACACCGGUGGCGAAGGCGGUUCUCUGGGCAUUACCUGACGCUGAGGAGCGAAAGUGUGGGGAGCGAACAGG